rnacentral:lncRNA from 1 species
UAGGAGAAAGCUUUUAAUAUAACUUUUUAUUUUAUCGAACCAAAUAACGUUAGUUGCAGUUCUGGAGGGAUAGGGAUUACAAGUUGCUGAGCAUAUGGGAAUUGCAAGAGCUGCAGUUGUCCCUUUUGGACGCCGAAGCAUGAAGCUUGGCACUGUCACUUCAUAUUCCAUAGCUUCUUCAAGCUGGUAAGUUACUUAACAUGUUCCCUUUAGGACGAGUUAAGAACUACUGGUAUUGUGAACUCUUUGAGCAUACGCUUACUGAUACUUAAGUGAUUUUGAUGUAGGAUUUGCAAUUUUGAAUGAUGGGUUGAUCUCGCUGUCUGAUGAAUUCCGGCCUAGAAAAUGAAUGAGGAUACACAUGGAGCUUUCCUGCUGAGCCAAAUAUAAGAAGAUUUUCUUUGGAUAUACUUGUGCUGCUUUCCAAAGCUGUUAAAAUUUCCAACUGGGUUAAAAUUAAUCAGACUUUAAACUAUAAAUUUUUGGCAGGAGGCUUCAACAGUACCAUGUUUUCAAGCUCUCAAGCUUGAAACAUUUUCUGUUAAAAGCUGGAAAGAGCUGCUGCUGUGACAAUUGUUCUGUGAUGAACCUGAGUGGAAUCAGAGAAGAUAAAAUUGAAUUUUGAUCUCUGUAAAUACUUCUCUAAAUAAUAGUUGUUCUUGGUGCUUACCCUAAGUAAAAAUUCU